GAGUUUACCUUUUUUGAAGAAUCAGAACAAUGUUGUGCUGAGAUACGGAGUCUAUCAACGUUGGGAGGGUCGCCGUAGAGCGAUCGAAACUCCUGUAAAGUGAGGUUAAUGUCUUCAUUUGAGAUAUCGUAUCCUCUGUCUCGGAGCAUCUCCAUGGUGGUUCGACGCGCCAGGUAAUAGCUGUGACUGUCCACACGUGAUUCAUCAAGGGACUUGCUCAGACCAGAGCCAACCGCUAACUCCUUACCUUUCCCCUCCAUCGUCUCUCUCGCGGGGAGGGAAAAAGCAUGCAAGCUUGAAUGUAGGAUUUUGCAGACGGCAUGAUGUUUUGUCGUUUUUAUUUGCGGGUGACGGUUUUACGGUGACAUCGAAUGAAGUAUGCAACAGGGUUUUAGUGGUAGCCAAUGAGCAAGCAGGUGAUGUAGUCAAAGGUGAGUAAAUGGUAGCUUUAGUGCUUCUUAUUGGCAUUGGUUUUGUAGUGGGAAACUCAAUACAAAUUUUGGCUCAAGACAUUUUAUAUAAAAAUAUUAUACAUUUUGGGGACAUGCAAAUAUAAACAUUAAUGAAGGCAUGUUUCCCUUGUUAUGAUGUUAUCUCUUGGGGACAUAUUUUUUAUGACUAGUCUAUGGGCUGGGUUUGUCGGAUUUAGUGCGGUGGUCAUGAGCUCGCCUGUCGGGUUCAGGUUCCGCUGAAGUUCGGUGGUCAAUCAAGGCUACGGGCUCUCCGUUCUGAAGCCAAUCAUAGGUGUUUUGUUAUGUUUCUAUGUUAGUAUAUGGUCCUUAGUUGGUUGAUUUGUGGUCUUGAGGCUUUGACGGCUUGGACAUCCUUGAAGACCUGGUCGAGUUUGCGUUGCUCUUUCUCGCUAUGCUUGGGUUGCUUCUUCAUCUUCGAAUCUGUUUUCUGGUGCGCGGUGCAGGAAUAAAUCGGCUCUGAUGUGGGUAGCUACUUCUUUCAUCGAAUUUGGUGAGGUGGUUUAGGUGGGUUUGCGAUGGUUCUGCGCUAUCGGCUCUCUUCUCUGUCCUCUAAGGUCGUCUUUGUUGAAGGUUCUAUAAGUUAUGGCCAGUGUUGAUGCUAUGUUUGUGAGUAAGAGUUCUCUGAAUUUAUGGAGUUUGGUGGUCUUGAGACAGUGGUGCUUAGUGUUAUCAGUUUGGGUCUUUCAGCUGUGCUCUAAGUUCUUGACUUCUGCUUUCAGUAGCGUCAUAUGUCCUCCGGGCUCGUCUUCGGUAAGGUCUUGAUGCUCGACCCUUGUGUUUACUAAUGAUUGGAUCAUUGUGAAGCCUCGAUAGUGCGUUGUCAUGCCGUUUCUUGGUUUUAAACCAACGGGUUUCUCCGGAUUUCUUGGUAAGAAACUGUGGAGCUCUAGCUCAAUUGCGUUGGGUCUUUGAGUAGUUAGAUUGUCAACCUGUUCUUCGUCGGCUGCUCGGAUGGAGAUCCGCCUUCUCGUGGCUUCCAAAAGUUGAAGCUUGUUCUUGAGUGGCGUGUGCUCGGGAUCCUCUGUUGGAUCGUGUCUUGGAGCUCUUCUAUCAUCCUAAUAAUUCCGACCUUCAACGCUUUCUUCGUUAAUCACGGCUUCCCUAUCGAGUUGCUUUGCUAUAUUGAUACUUGUUUUAGCUCCAUUAAUUUUUCAGUGGUCUUGUUCCUUCCUAGCCUAUGUCUUGAUAGUUGUCGUAUUGUUUUCAUCUUUGUCUCUAGGUAGUAAUGUUUACUACGCUGGCUGUUGGCUCCGGAAGGGAUCUUUACCUUUGCUGGCUUUGUGUAAUUCACGUUAUAAGUUUGAAUAUUAAUCCAACAGAUGACAAAAAAAAAAAGAACGAAUAUCGCUCAACCUUUUUCUUUAAAAAUAAUUUAACUAGGGAAGAUUGCAAGGAAAACAUCCAACAUAUUUUUAUGUAUCUAUCCAUUAGUAAAAGUUAGGUUUAAGAACUUUAAUAAUGAGCAUGUGAAUUGAUUGGGAAACUUAGAAUGUAAGCAAUCAGUUUAUCAUCACUAACUAAAAAUUUGAAACAUCAAAUCUAUUAUGGUGUAAAGAUUAACACGAACGAGAUUGAGACAUUACAUGAGGAAACAUCAUAUAAAACACACACAUAGAUAUAAAUAAUUAUGAAGGAAGAAAAAGAGAGAAACAAAUAAAAAAGUAGAAAAGCCAAUAUUUAUGGGAGUGUCAGUGUCAUCUCUACAAUGUAGAGCCCAAUCAAUCCGAUCUAGUGUUUUCGGUCAGUGUUCCUUUCAUACCAUGGCCAAUAAAACAUUUUCUUGGCUGUAUUAUCUAGCCAGAAAAUAGAACAUGAGAAUAAAAGAAUAGAGAAAAAUAAUAAUGAUAAAUGUUAAAAUCAUUAAAACAUUUAAAAUAUGCUUUCAAGAGUAGUUUAUAAAUUUUGUGGGAGAUUUGCCUCUUUGUAAUGUGUAAAAUUAAAUUAUUUUUUUGUUUGACAAUAUGUAUGCAGUGAAGUCUUUAAUAUCAGUUUAAAAAUCAAUUAUUGUGAUAUAAACAUUCAAUUUUGUUUAAUCAGGUGAAAAAAAACAUUCAAUUUUGUUAACUCAUAUUAACUCUUUGAAAGCUUUACCCAGUUCACAAUGAACCAAACUUGUAUGCAAGGAGUGAUUGAAAUAACAUCUGAAACCUCCUGUGGUACCCUUUAGUUCAUUCAUUACCUAACGUUUUUUUGGUUUCUCUCUUUAGCGUGUCUCUUACGGUAUGACAACUAAAAGGCAAAGGUUUUCAGAACAAAUAUUUCUAUUUAUAUCGAAUCAAAGAAGACACCAUAGAUAGAUAUCAUAUGAUCUCUGAGUACAAUCACCUUCCUUUUUGGACUUAGAAGCACACACAAAACGUACACAGAGUUAUGCAUUUGCUCAUUUACACUCAAAAACAGAAUAUCCUUCUUUUUUACACCGAUCACUCAUCGUUUGUCUCAAGGGCAGAUUGUAAUACUUCUUCUAAAUACUUUUCCGCGGCUGCAAACUGUCUCUUCUUGUCCUCGAUUGCUAGUGCAGCCAGAGCUUUGUCCUGUUCAAAGAAAUAAGGAAGCAAUCUACUGUAAACCAAGUCUAGCAACAACCAAUAGCAAAGAGAAUGUUGCUAUGCUGAUCAGUGAAAAAUAUACAUUAGAUAAAAAGUUAUGAUAAUAAUACUUUGCUGUAUAUAACAAAACUCAAAAACAACUUUAGCCAUGAAGGUAUCUCAUCCUCAAAGGAGUAUGUAAAAAAAGUGAAAGGAGAAGAAGAUGUCUACCUCAUACUUCUUGUACUGCUGUAUAUACUGAUCCUCCUUAGCCGCCAUUACUUCCAAAUUCGUUUUCCAAUUCUCCAUCUGUGACUCACAAGGGACCACAUCUUCUUCUAGCUGCGCAAGGAUUCUGUAAAAUCCUCAACAACAUAUAAAGUAAUAUCACCACUCACCAUCAAGAUCAUAUUCACAUCUAUCAUAACCAAUCUUACUUCUUCAAAUACGUCAGCCUCUGAAUCGCUUUCCUCGUAUACUCAAGCAGCACAUUAGACUCCUUCUUUGCUUUAGCCCUCUUCUCCUCAACUCCAGUCUUCCUCAGAGAAACAUCUCCCAUCGCAACAAGGAAACUACACAAACACAUCAGCUCGAAAUAGCAAUACACAUGUAAACAAGAGAACCAACACCAAACUCACCUGCUCAUCUCAGUGUCUCUAACGUUCAACAAGAACUUGAGCUGAAGAAGAGACCACAUAAAUAUCACAUAAAUUUGGUCUAUUAUGUUUUUUUUUUGUGUGCAACUGGUCUAUUAUGGUUUAUAAUUUUAAAUUAUUAUGCACUUAUCAGAGGUUGCUUCGAGUUCGAGGUAGCUAGCUCUGGACUAUAUCGAAAAUCAGGUGAUUGGCUUUAUCAUCAUACAUUGUUUGGUUUAGAAACCACAAGAAACGCACAGAGUUUACAGCUUUUGACAUCAAGACAUGAUACGUAUUGCCACAUACAAAUUAAGAGAGAUAAGAAUACAAACAAAACGAGAUUACCAAACGCAUCGGUAUAAAACAUGAUCAGACUCACUGCCCUCGCCCUUGUAUGUGACCUCCACGACUUGCCCUUUCUCUAGUCCGUAGUAUUUCGCUGUCGGGUCUUUCUUCAAUAACUUUGGAAGCUAACAAAAGCGAAAAAUAUAUUUUAAAAAUGUUUACUUAAAGAAAGCUGGCUGGCUCAAGCUACUAGCUAGCAACGAUCCAAGUAUAAGAAAACAUUCUUACUUGUUGCUCCUCAAUACUGAACUUCUUGAAGAGUGAUUCCUUCCCUUGAUCAUUCAGAACCCGAUGUUUUGGCCUCAAGACAUGUUUGGUUAUGUUAACCAGCAAUUCGGUUAACUAACAACAACAAAAAAAAAAAGCACAACCAAGAUGUUACAAAUCUACUGAGAAUUAAAGUCGAAGCAAUUGAUCAUAACUAAACAAAGUAUCAAUAUAAACGUACAUGGAAUAACUCGACUUUGAAGGAGAAAAGUUCAACGGCUUUUAGAGCUUGAUUUGUUAUAUCACUUUGGAGAACCAAUAUCAGUCCGGUUAAAUUUUCUCGACCAAGUACAUCGGCUGCUAUUUCGCGUAUCGCAUUGACUUUAACUAUACCACUUCCGCAAAACACAACAGCUAUCUAAUAUUCAAAACAGAGAAAUUGCUUGGUGCAUAGCAGAGCAACAACUUAUUUAUAUUAACCCUUUAAAAUUUGGAAGCUAAAGCUAAUGUUUCAUUGUGAGAUGUCUAGGACCGGCUAUGAACAGCAGCCAAACAUAAAUAAGUCUUUCUUCAAAGAAACAAUACUUUUUUUUGUCAGAGAUCUAUAAUCAUUUUAUUAAGAGAUCUCUGGAAUCAAGAGAUCGCCUAAAAUAUAUAUCCAAUAUACUUAUUUUACAAAUACAUAACAUCUCGGGGAUUAUCUCGAAUAUAUUUCCAUAUAGUUAUUAGAAAAUAGUAACGAAAACUUCGAAUAUUUUGUCACCUUGGCAGAAAAAUAUCAACAUGCAGACUGAUAUUGGUUCCAGAACAAUGCUAUAAAAUCGACAUUACAUUCUGCAUGGCAUUGGAGUUUACCUUUUUUGAAGAAUCAGAACAAUGUUGUGCUGAGAUACGGAGUCUAUCAACGUUGGGAGGGUCGCCGUAGAGCGAUCGAAACUCCUGUAAAGUGAGGUUAAUGUCUUCAUUUGAGAUAUCGUAUCCUCUGUCUCGGAGCAUCUCCAUGGUGGUUCGACGCGCCAGGUAAUAGCUGUGACUGUCCACACGUGAUUCAUCAAGGGACUUGCUCAGACCAGAGCCAACCGCUAACUCCUUACCUUUCCCCUCCAUCGUCUCUCUCGCGGGGAGGGAAAAAGCAUGCAAGCUUG
rnacentral:lncRNA from 1 species